CUCUGGAGAGCAGGCGCCGGAUCACGUUGGUCCGAGCGUCUCACCGACGGGGAACGCCCGGCAGUCCACCGCCUGGCUAAUCUCUCAGGUCUUUCGGACAGAG
rnacentral:ncRNA from 1 species